AUUGAACGCUGGCGGAAUGCUUUACACAUGCAAGUCGAGCGGCAGCGCGGCCUUCGGGCUGGCGGCGAGCGGCGAACGGGUGAGUAAUGCAUCGGAACAUGCCCAGUCGUGGGGGAUAACACUUCGAAAGAAGUGCUAAUACCGCAUACGUCCUGAGGGGGAAAGCGGGGGAUCGCAAGACCUCGCGCGAUUGGAGUGGCCGAUGUCAGAUUAGCUAGUUGGUGGGGUAAAGGCCUACCAAGGCGACGAUCUGUAGCUGGUCUGAGAGGAUGAUCAGCCACACUGGGACGGAGACACGGCCCAGACUCCUACGGGAGGCAGCAGUGGGGAAUUUUGGACAAUGGGGGCAACCCUGAUCCAGCCAUUCCGCGUGAGUGAAGAAGGCCUUCGGGUUGUAAAGCUCUUUCGGCAGGAACGAAACGGUGGGCUCUAACAUAGUCCGCUAAUGACGGUACCUGAAGAAGAAGCACCGGCUAACUACGU
rnacentral:rRNA from 1 species